rnacentral:ncRNA from 1 species
AAAUUAUUUCUGGUUUUUUGUUUAUUAGAUGUUUGAAUUAUAUAUAAGUUUUUAAGUAAAAAAUAAUUAAUUUUUAAAAAAAUUUAAUUUUCAAUUUUAUAUAAUAAUUAAUUUUAAAAUUAAUUUUAAAAAAAUUUAAUUUUGGUAAUAUUAAAUUAUUUUUAAUUAAAAUUGUGCCAGCAAUUGCGGUUAAACAAUUAAUAAAAAUAAAUAUUAAUUUUAAUUUUUAAAGAAAAAUAAUUAUAUAUAAAUAUAAUUAUUAUAAAAUUUUAAAUUUAAUUAAAUAAGUAAAAUUAGAUAAUUAAAAUGUAUUUUUUUUAUAUUUUUAAUUUUAAAAAAAAUUGUAAAUUUAAACUAGGAUUAGAUACCCUAUUAUAAUAAUUAAUUAUUAAAAAUUUUUUAAUUAAAUUAGUAAAAUUAAAAAUUUGAAAAUUAAAGAAUUUGACGGUAUUUAAAUCAAUUUAGAGGAAUUUGUUUAAUAAUUGAUAUUCCACAAUUAAAAUUACUUAUUUUAAAAUUUGUAUAUCGUUGUUAUAAAAAUAUUUUUUAAUAAUUAAUAAUAUUUAAAAAUUUAAAUUUAAAUUUAUAUCAAAUCAAGAUACAGUUUAUUGAUAAGAUUAAAAAUGAAUUACAUUAAUUGAAAUUAAUUAUAAUAAUUUAUUUGAAAAUUAUUUUAUUAAAUUGGAUUUAAAUGUAAUUAAUUUAAUAUUUUUUAUUAAUGAUUUAUGUUUUUAAAUAAGUACAUAUUGCCCGUCACUCUCAUUAGUAAAUUUAUAUUAUAAUUGAGAUAAGUCGUAACAUAGUAGAAGUAUUGGAAAAUGUUUCUAGAAUUAUUUAAAUUAUAA